AUACGGAGGAUGCAAGCGUUGUUCGGAAUCACUGGGCGUAAAGGGCGCGCAGGCGGUUUGGUAAGUCAGAUGUGAAAGCCCACGGCUCAACCGUGGAAGUGCAUUUGAAACUGUCAGACUUGAGUACUAGAGGGGAAAGUGGAAUUCCCGGUGUAGAGGUGAAAUUCGUAGAUAUCGGGAGGAAUACCGGUGGCGAAGGCGACUUUCUGGCUAGAUACUGACGCUGAGGCGCGAAAGCGUGGGGAGCAAACAGGAUUAGAAACCCUAGUAGUCC
rnacentral:rRNA from 1 species